CCACGUGGAGUUGGAUUUACGGGUCAGGUCCUUGUAGCGGGGUGGCAGGAAGACGCGAUAAAGGGAUAAAAAAGAAGCUGAUACGUGUCGUGUGCCUCGGGUGAUCGUAACAGACGAGCCCGACUGAUACGUGCGGCAGAAGCCUAGAAAGAGCUGCAAAAGCGCCCGCUUAGAGGUAAUGGAAAGGCAAGCCGCAUAUGAUUUUUUAUUUGCUUUUUUACAAAAGAGACAGAUUAAGGGGAUGAAUUUGCAAAAGAAUUUAACCAGACUUUGGACUGAUAGCUAUACUAAAGGGGUUUUCCUUGUCCUCCUUGCGGUUUACAACUUAACGGGAUGGCGUGAAUUCAGUGAUUUAUCAUGGGACACUGAUAAAACUGUCAAGAAGUUGAGCAGCCGCGCCGAGCGACCGCCUGUAGUGCUGCGCUGUAGAGGCGAUAACAAAGGCAGCGGCGGGGAGAAGCCGCGCCGCACGGCGGGAACCGAGCUAAGCAAGCCGCGGGGGGCCGCGGCGGAAGCCGAGCCAGCCGCCGCGAGAGCCGCCGGAGAAGCCGCACCGAGAAGCCGCGCGGAGAGCCCAGCAGCAGUGGGAGCCGAGAGCAGCCAGAACAGCCGCGGGAGCCAAGAGCAGCGAAAGCAGCCACGCCGCGCCCCGCGCGGAGGAAGCCGCCGAGGCUGCAGCGCGGACAGAGCGCGCACCGCAUCCAGCAGCACCACCAGCACUGCGGGCAUGCCGAGCCUGGCCCCAGCGGGACAUCGCAGGGAGCCGAGCAGCGCGGCGGGAGCGACCCGGCCAGCGACAGCUGCAGCAGAGUCAACCUGUUGGCAAGUAAACAAAGAGCCCACCGCGGCUGGAGCGGGGCCGCCGCGGGGGGAGCAGCCGUGCCCCGCAGCCAGCGCCAGGCAGCCGCCAGCAGCCCCGGGCGGCAGAAGCCGUGCCGUGCCGAGCGGCGCGGGGGACGUCUCGGUCCCCCUUGCGCCGCGCCGAGCAGCGCCCCUCCUCCGACAUUCGCGCCGCAAAGCCACGGGAAGAGCUCAGCGCGGGGGGGCUUAAUCCCUCCUCCGACGCACGCCGCAAGACCAAAUUAACUCUUAGUAGCUCUGCUCUAAUUUAAAGCUACUUAAGUCUGUUACCUUAGUUUAUAUGUAUUUCAUACUCAUUUUCUUAAGUUUUGGGUUUCUUUUUUCCUCUCCUGCCCAGACCAGUAGUAAGCCAGGUGAGAG
rnacentral:lncRNA from 1 species